AAAACUUUCAACAACGGAUCUCUUGGCUCUGGCAGCGAUGAAGAACGCAGCGAAAUGCGAUAAGUAAUGUGAAUUGCAGAAUUCAGUGAAUCAUCGAAUCUUUGAACGCACAUUGCGCCCGCCAGUAUUCUGGCGGGCAUGCCUGUUCGAGCGUCAUUACAACCCUCAGGCCCCCGGGCCUGGCGUUGGGGAUCGGCGGAAGCCCCCUGCGGGCACAACGCCGUCCCCCAAAUACAGUGGCGGUCCCGCCGCAGCUUCCAUUGCGUAGUAGCUAACACCUCGCAACUGGAGAGCGGCUCGGCCACGCCGUGAAACCCCCAAUUUUUCAAGGUUGACCUCGGAUCAGGUAGGAAUACCCGCUGAACUUAAGCAUAUCAAUAAGCGGAGGAAAAGAAACCAACAGGGAUUGCCUCAGUAACGGCGAGUGAAGCGGCAACAGCUCAAAUUUGAAAUCUGGCCGCAAGGUCCGAGUUGUAAUUUGCAGAGGAUGCUUUUGGCGAGGUGCCUUCCGAGUUCCCUGGAACGGGACGCCAUAGAGGGUGAGAGCCCCGUACGGUAGGACCACCGAGCCUCUGUAAAGCUCCUUCGACGAGUCGAGUAGUUUGGGAAUGCUGCUCUAAAUGGGAGGUGUACGUCUUCUAAAGCUAAAUACCGGCCAGAGACCGAUAGCGCACAAGUAGAGUGAUCGAAAGAUGAAAAGCACUUUGAAAAGAGGGUUAAAAAGUACGUGAAAUUGUUGAAAGGGAAGCAUUCAUGACCAGACUUGGGCUUGGUUGAACAUCCGGCGUUCUCGCCGGUGCACUCUGCCAGUCCAGGCCAGCAUCAGUUUGCCCCGGGGGACAAAGGCGGCGGGAAUGUGGCUCUCUACGGGGAGUGUUAUAGCCCGUCGUGUAAUGCCCUGGGGCGGACUGAGGAACGCGCUUCGGCACGGAUGCUGGCGUAAUGGUCAUCAAUGGCCCGUCUUGAAACACGGACC
rnacentral:rRNA from 1 species